GACGAACGCUGGCGGCGUGCUUAACACAUGCAAGUCGAACGGAAAGGCCCUGCUUUUGUGGGGUGCUCGGGUGGCGAACGGGUGAGUAACACGUGAGUAACCUGCCCUUGACUUUGGGAUAACUUCAGGAAACUGGGGCUAAUACCGGAUAGGAGCUCCUGCUGCAUGGUGGGGGUUGGAAAGUUUCGGCGGUUGGGGAUGGACUCGCGGCUUAUCAGCUUGUUGGUGGGGUAGUGGCUUACCAAGGCUUUGACGGGUAGCCGGCCUGAGAGGGUGACCGGCCACAUUGGGACUGAGAUACGGCGCAGACGCCUACGGGAGGUAGCAGUGGGGAGUAUUGCACAGUGAGCGGAAGCCUGAUGCAGCAGCGCCGCGUGCGGGAUGACGGCCUUCGGGUUGUAAACCGCUUUCGCCUGUGACGAAGCGUGAGUGACGGUAAUGGGUAAAGAAGCACCGGCUAACUACGUG
rnacentral:rRNA from 1 species